rnacentral:rRNA from 1 species
GUGAGGAAUUUUCCGCAAUGGGCGAAAGCCUGACGGAGCAAUGCCGCGUGAAGGAUGAAGGCCUAUGGGUUGUAAACUUCUUUUCUCAGAAAAGAAUUAUGACGGUAUCUGAGGAAUAAGCAUCGGCUAACUCUGUGCCAGCAGCCGCGGUAAGACAGAGGAUGCAAGCGUUAUCCGGAAUGAUUGGGCGUAAAGCGUCUGUAGGUUGUUUAAAAAGUAUUCUGUCAAAGAUUAGGGCUUAACCCUAGAUAGGCAGAAUAAACUUUUAAGCUAGAGUUUGGUAGAGGCAGAGGGAAUUCCCGGUGGAGCGGUGAAAUGCGUAGAUAUCGGGAGGAACACCAAAGGCGAAGGCACUCUGCUGGGCAAAUACUAACACUGAGAGACGAAAGCGAGGGGAGCAAAUGGGAUUAGAAACCGGGUAGUCC